GCCUUCGUGGUGUAGUGGUCAGCACGCUCGACGCGUAACCGAGAGGUCCCUUGGUUCGAUUCUCGGCGAAGGCG
rnacentral:tRNA from 1 species